AACGCGAAGAACCUUACCUGGGCUCGAAAUGUAGUGGAAUCCGGCAGAAACGUCGGCGUCUAGCAAUAGACCGCUAUAUAGGUGCUGCAUGGCUGUCGUCAGCUCGUGUCGUGAGAUGUUGGGUUAAGUCCCGCAACGAGCGCAACCCUUAUCUUCAGUUGCUACCCGCAAGGGAGAACUCUAUGAGGACUGCUCCGGAUAACGGAGAGGAAGGUGGGGAUGAGGUCAAGUCAGCAUGGCCUUUAUGUCCAGGGCUACACACGUGUUACAAUGCGCGCUACAGAGCGUUGCAAACCCGCGAGGGGGAGCUAAUCGCACAAAAGCGCGCUCAGUUCGGAUUGCAGUCUGCAACUCGACUGCAUGAAGCCGGAAUCGCUAGUAAUGGCGCAUCAGAACGGCGCCGUGAAUACGUUCCCGGGCCUUGUACACACCGCAUAC
rnacentral:rRNA from 1 species